UACGGAGGAUCCGAGCGUUAUCCGGAUUUAUUGGGUUUAAAGGGUGCGCAGGCGGGAUGUUAAGUCGGCGGUGAAAUUUUGCAGCUCAACUGUAAAAGUGCCUUCGAUACUGGCUUUCUUGAGUGUGGAUGAAGUAGGCGGAAUUUGUGGUGUAGCGGUGAAAUGCUUAGAUAUCACGAGGAACUCCGAUUGCGCAGGCAGCUUACUAAACCACUACUGACGCUCAUGCACGAAGGCGUGGGGAUCAAACAGG
rnacentral:rRNA from 3 species